rnacentral:hammerhead_ribozyme from 1 species
AUCCAGCUGACGAUUCUCAAAUAGGACGAAAUGAGCAUCCUGGAU